UGUGCUGGAAAACAGUCUUUAUCCCUUAAUAUUUUCCAGAUUUGCUAAGAAAGAAAGAAGGUUAUCAGAAAUAAUCUCUCUCACACACACCUUGUCUUUUCACUCUGCAGAAACUACAGGUUUAUUGAGCGACUCAUCGAUCCUCCCAAAGUGAAUCCGCUCAGAGCAGAAUGGCUGUAGGAAAUCUGUUCAGAUAUGGCCAUUGAUGGCAAUGCAGAACGGGACUGCUUCCUUUAAGAUUUAAUACAGCGGAUGAUUGAUCGUGCCCGCCAGCUGCCUAAUAUCAUAAUUAACAAAGUUGCGACUGUGUCUGAGAAGUUUAAUCGAAAAAAAUUGCCAGCAGUGGGAUGCCAUUGUUGCCCACAAGGAUCAGAAGCAUGGCAAAGUCGACUUUUGGAGUAAUGGAGCUGCAGAGCGAUGUGGGCAGAAUACGAAGCAGUGCACCUGAAUGUCUAAUGAUAAGAACGUUAAAAGGUCCAUGAUUUAGCUUGGGCAAAAUUGUUCAAGGAGCAAAAUGGCUUUCUGGAAUCCAGAGCUGAGGAGGAUGCCUUACAAAGGGAUUUCAGAAAUAUGAAUGGAUGUAUUGAAGCUAUGAUGAAACAGGUUUUGCUGGAGGAUCAAACUGUGAAAACUAUGACCAUGAAAAGCCCUCUAUUUAAUGCUUUCUCCAAAACUGUGAUAUUAGCAUGGGAAGCUAAGAUGGAGGCUAAUAAUGAAGGAGUUAGUAAAGGAGGCCAAUGCCAUGAGGGUUAUCUCACAGCCGCAGAUGCUGGAUAAGUUGAAGAAGGCAGAAUCGCUUUUGGAUGACAUUCAGGUCUGAAUUAUGACUUGGAG